rnacentral:rRNA from 1 species
CAGCAGCCGCGGUAAUACGUAGGGUGCAAGCGUUAAUCGGAAUUACUGGGCGUAAAGCGUGCGCAGGCGGUUAUAUAAGACAGAUGUGAAAUCCCCGGGCUCAACCUGGGAACUGCAUUUGUGACUGUAUAGCUAGAGUACGGCAGAGGGGGAUGGAAUUCCGCGUGUAGCAGUAAAAUGCGUAGAUAUGCGGAGGAACACCGAUGGCGAAGGCAAUCCCCUGGGCCUGUACUGACGCUCAUGCACGAAAGCGUGGGGAGCAAACAGGAUUAGAUACCCCUGUAGUCCCUGUCUCUUAUAC